AUACGGAGGGUGCAAGCGUUGUUCGGAAUCACUGGGCGUAAAGGGCGCGCAGGCGGAUUGGUCAGUCAGAUGUGAAAGCCCACGGCUUAACCGUGGAAGUGCAUUUGAAACUGCCAUUCUUGAGUACCAGAGGGGAAAGUGGAAUUCCCGGUGUAGAGGUGAAAUUCGUAGAUAUCGGGAGGAAUACCGGUGGCGAAGGCGACUUUCUGGCUGGAUACUGACGCUGAGGCGCGAAAGCGUGGGGAGCAAACAGGAUUAGAUACCCUAGUAGUCC
rnacentral:rRNA from 1 species